rnacentral:rRNA from 1 species
UACAGAGGGUGCGAGCGUUAAUCGGAAUUACUGGGCGUAAAGCGCGCGUAGGCGGCUUUGCAAGUCGGGUGUGAAAUCCCCAGGCUUAACCUGGGAACUGCAUUCGAGACUGCAUUGCUAGAGUAUGGGAGAGGAAAGUGGAAUUUCAGGUGUAGCGGUGAAAUGCGUAGAUAUCUGAAGGAACAUCAGUGGCGAAAGCGACUUCCUGGACCAAUACUGACGCUCAUGUGCGAAAGCGUGGGGAGCAAACAGG